rnacentral:rRNA from 1 species
GACGAACGCUGGCGGCGUGCUUAACACAUGCAAGUCGAACGAAGUGGCGGACGGGUGAGUAACGCGUAAACAACCUGCCCUUCAGAGGGGGACAACAGUUGGAAACGACUGCUAAUACCGCAUACUGAAGGUGGGGAUUGGGUGUGCUGAGCUGGUGGGAGGGGUCAGGGCCCACCAAGGCGAUGAGCAGUAGCCGGUGGUGUGGGAUGAACUGCCACAUUGGGACUGAGACACGGCCCAGACCCCGACGGGAUGCAGCAGUGGGGAAUCUUCCGCAAUGGACGAAAGUCUGACGGAGCAACGCCGCGUGAGUGAUGAUGGCCUUCGGGUUGUAAAGCUCUGUUAAUCGGGACGCGGUACCGGAAUAGAAAGCCACGGCUAACUACGUGCCAGCAGCCGCGGUAAUUC